UACAGAGGUCUCAAGCGUUGUUCGGAUUCAUUGGGCGUAAAGGGUGCGUAGGCGGCGCGGUAAGUCGGGUGUGAAAUCUUGGAGCUUAACUCCGAAACUGCAUUCGAUACUGCCGUGCUUGAGGACUGGAGAGGAGACUGGAAUUUACGGUGUAGCGGUGAAAUGCGUAGAUAUCGAGAGGAACACCUGCGGCGAAGGCGGGUAGCUGGGCCGACACUGACGCUGAGGCGCGAAAGCCAGGGGAGCGAACGGG
rnacentral:rRNA from 1 species